rnacentral:rRNA from 1 species
AAUCAACGCUGGCGGCGUGCCUCAGACAUGCAAGUCGAACGAUUAAGACUUCCUUCGGGAAGUGCAUAAAGUGGCGCACGGGUGAGUAACACGUAAGUAAUCUACCCUCGAGUGGGGAAUAACAGUCGGAAACGACUGCUAAUACCGCAUAAUGCAGCGGCACCGCAAGGUGACAGUUGUUAAAGGAGCAAUCCGCUUGAGGAGGAGCUUGCGGCAGAUUAGCUAGUUGGUAAGGUAACGGCUUACCAAGGCUACGAUCUGUAUCCGGUCUAAGAGGACGGUCGGACACACUGACACUGAAUAACGGGUCAGACUCCUACGGGAGGCAGCAGUCGGGAAUGUUGGGCAAUGGGCGAAAGCCUGACCCAGCAACGCCGCGUGAAGGAUGAAGUAUUUCGGUAUGUAAACUUCGAAAGAAUAGGAGGAAUAAAUGACGGUACUAUUUAUAAGCUCCGGCUAACUACGUGCCAGCCGCCGCGGUAACAC